rnacentral:lncRNA from 1 species
AGACGAGAACUUGGGAAGGAGGUGGGAGUGAAGAGUGAGAUCACGGAAGCGGUUUCUCUCGAAGGCAAAGCUUCUAAAAGAGAGGAAAGUUAGUAUGAAUGAGAGCAUCAGAGUGAACGGUCUCAUGAGUAAUAGGUAACACCGAGAAGAUAAGGGGUGCGAGGAGAGGGAAGCAAAGCCAAGUCGGAGAUGGUAAAUCGAGUCGAGUGAUGUUAGAUGUGUGAGAUAAAUUGCGUCAGGUUUCUCUUCAUCUUGCUCCAACGAUGUUUCAUACAAUGAGUCACUGCACUUGUCGUUGGUCCCAUAGAUGUAGUCGUACAUUGGCAUGAAUAGAGAAUAGUUCGUCCUGAAUUGUGUGUGGUGGAGCGAGUGAAAUCUGCAAUCAUAAUAUAUGCUUCGUUUCAAUAUUAUUAUUAUUUUUUUUUUUUUGUAAAAAGGCUUUCAAAUUUAAAAACAAAGGAACAUACAUUGUAUGGUUUUUCAACCAUAAAGUUUAAGAAAAUAUGAUGAGGCAUGCCUCAUAAUCAACCAAGCAAUAGCUCACAAAAGAGAGAACUUAUGAUACAUAAGCUUAGUGAAACAAGAAAAAGAUGGAAGUACUAAGAAGAUGGACAGUAGUAUCCGCGGCCUCGACGACCUUGUUUACCUCUUCCUCUAACCGUUUUCCAUUCCAUAUCUUGAAAUUUUUGAAGUGGUUUUAUUAACCUUCCACCUCGUGACAUGGUGAGGUUUGCCGUAGCAUCACUCAUAAACCCAUCUCCAUCAUCUUGCUCAUUAUAGUCAAUUUGAUUGGAAAAGGGACUGCCAUGUUCAGGAGAAUGUGAAGAGGCCAAUGAAUUGUCCUUUGGAACCGAUUUGGUUUCGAAGACAAUAACAGGUGAUGGAAUUGCUUCCAUAAUAAUAGUUUCAGUUGGAGCAGACUGUGUGUCUGCUAAUCGUUUCAAUAUUAUUUCAAUAUGUAUUCCUAAUAGUGGAUAACAUAUGUUUUGUGUUUAGUAACCAAAAUUUCCAAUGUCUUAAUCCCAAUUUAUUUGUAAAUUGUAAAAGUGAAAAACAAUAUGUUAAAAGGUGAAAUAAUACUGUAACACAAAUGUAAAUGUGUCUGAGGUAAUGGUGAAAUACUAUUCUAGUGGGGUUUUAAGAGCACGUCCAUCGACAGCUUCUAACUUGGGGUUUUAAAACAAAAAAAAUAUUAAAAUAAUAAAAAAAAGCAAAAGAGAGUGAAACUUUUAAUACCGUUUCUGACCGUCCAAGUGUUAUUUGUCAACUUCUGAAUCGUUAACUUUUUAAAAAAGAAAUAAAUUUUAAUUCCAAAAUUAUGCAUGACUAAAUUAUUAUUACUUUUGAUCAAAGAACCUGUUUUAAAGAUACUUGCCGAUGGAGUUGGACUUACGAAGGAGUGUAGCAGAGGAACUUAAGAGGAGGGAAGAUAGAGAAGAAAAAUCUCGGAAUGAGCUCGAAGUUGCAGUGGCCCAAGUUGUUCAUGAAAUCUAUGUAAGUUAUGUAGAGUGCAAUGGAGAUGAUGGAGACCGUGCCGCAUAGAAAAGUCGUUACUAGAGGCAUCACCAAGAUUAGUGAAUAGGCAAUGUGCUCCGCAAAAGGAUGUACCACCGCUGCAAUCAAAACCAUGCAUUGUACUAUUAUACAUGUCACUGUCUUUUUUUUUAAUAAAAAAAAUACAUGUCACUGUCUCAAAUCUUUUUUUAUUAAUAUAAGAGAUGUCAGAAUGUACCACCGCUGCAAUCUUUUUUAAUAAAAUAAGGAGCGUCAUUUUGUCCAUACUAAAGAUAUACACCAUAUUAAACAGUUUUAAAAACAUACAUGAAAUUCAAGCAUUUUGUUGAAAAUCAACAAAACCUCUAAGCGAUUUUGCUAUCACAAUAUUUUGUAAAUAAGCUUCCAGCUUUGGCAAUAGUGCAUAUACCUUCCAAAUGCGUUGUUUCGAAUUUUCUGUUGAAAAUAAUUAUGAGACAAGAGUUUACUUGCUCCCGUAGGAGUUUAAUAGAAAUUUAAACAUGUGUUUUAAAAAAUUGUGAAGACUGAUAGUAGUAAUAGGUAAUGCUUUCUACAGGUUCUUUAUGUUUUGUGAGGACUGAGGAAGUAUAUAUAAGUUAUGUGUACGUACACGUGAUCGGCUCGGUGACGAUGGAGGAGUGGUGAUGUGAAUGGUAGCGAGAGUAGAGGAAGUGGUGGUGAAGGGCUCGGUGAAACCAAUAGUAGAUAAACUCAGCCGGACCCGCGUGGAGGAGAGCGACUAGAACCAGACCAUCGAGUCGCCAAAAGGGAAGGGUAUCGGUUCCUAUCAGGUACACUUUGGCUAAGUAAGCAACGAGAGUGUUGAAGAUGAUCUGAUCGUCCCAGGUUCGUUCUCGGUCGACUUGGUCAAACUCUAUGGACUUGUUCACGAUCCGUUUGGUUCCUUUGGCUGUUCGGUAACGGGAAAAACUUAUCCAAACCUGGCUAUGAACAAUCCGCCACACCAUUAGCGCCAUUACCAAAAGUUUCUCGUGAUCUCGCAUAGCCGCGUAUGAGUAGAUGCUGUCAAUAACCAGCGGCACCAACACCAAAUACUGCAAUGUUUAUCAAUAUUUUUAUACAAAAUACAUUUUGUAUUUAAAGAUGUUAUGAAGCAAAUUGGAGCAAUGAAAUAUACCUUAAAACUUCCAAGUGGUGUCCAUGGCCAGUCUGUGAGAAGACCAGGUCUCGAUGCCAUUCUUUUUCAGUACAAGGAUCAAUGAUGAUGACUGUAUGAAAAUAUAUUUGAGUAUGAAGAACAAGAGAGAGAUAAUUUGAGAGAUACUAAGUGACUGAAUAAUUAUGUAUUUCUGUGUCUACAAAUAUAUAAAGAAGUCCACUUGUAAGUGAUUACAAGAAACAUGUGUUAAAUAAGAAUGGAUGUAAUUGUUGGGUUUUGUUUUUCUUGUCACAUACAGCCUCUCAUCAACACUUCACUUUCUUCACAUCGAUCUCUUUUUUCUUUGAUAUGUCAUGUCUACUAAUCCUGUCGGCCUCAGUAGAAAAUCACCUAAUACUAUAGAGUGAGCUGAAUAUCACACUGCUUAAUCCAAGUUUGGAAUAUUUUCCGACUAAUGCCAAGAGAUGUACCGAUUGUCUGUUACGCCAUUCCAUGUUAACCAUUUGAACCAAAGUCCAAAUCCAAAUUGACCAAAAGUGAUUGUUUAAUUCCCAUUUGAAAACCGAACUCAAGACCAACGUGUAUACACAUUGAAUCUCAAAAGAUUACAACCAGACUAUCACGGCUUGGUUACACUUCGAUAACUUUGAUUCUUUCGGACAUCAUUUUCACCCAAAUCGACCGCUAUGCAGCUUUUGACCACUACUGAUUGCUUCAACAUUCCUUUUCAAUAUGGUUGGUGAAGAUCCAUAAACCUAUCUUAAGAUGAAAAUCCUUAUAUACUUUUUGAGAUGUCGCUCUGGUGAAGACAUCUAUUACUUGAUGAUUAACACUCUUCACAUGAGAGGGAAGAGGGAAAGUUGAUUACUUGUUGAACAUUCACUCCAAUGUACAAUAAAAACUCUAUAAAUUAAUAAUAUUAGGACUAUGAUAUUUAAUUAGUUUAUAGAGUUAUUAAUUUACAAAAAAAAAUUCUUUUUAGAUAUUUUAAAUACAUAUUUUUCUAAAAUAAAAAAAAUAUUUAAAUUUUAUGUAUAUACAUUAAUUAUUUUUUUGAAAGUCGACAUUUAUGAUGUUUUAUUAUAUAAAAUAUUUUUAAUAGAGUCUAAAUAUGGUUUUAGAUAUAAUUUUCUAUAUCUCAUCAAAAAAUAUUAAGUUUUAAGAAAAUAUAAAAAUAAUUUAUUGUGAAUAUAAAGCAAAUAAUUUAAUGGUUUUCUUGUAUAUAUAAAUUAAAUAUAUAUACAUAUAAAUUAUUAAUUUAUAAUUUUAAUGAGACCAUAUAUAUCCAUAGGAUUUUUGAAAUUUUUUUAUCUAAUUUUUUUAUCGAUUUGUUUCAUAUUUUGAACCGACCCAACUUAGGACCAGAAAAAUUUAUUAAUUUAUAAUGUUUAUUAAUUUAUCGAGUAUUAAUUUAUAUACAUAUAAAUUAUUUGAUAAUUUUAAUGAGACCAUAUAUUUACAUAUGAGUUUUUUAAAUUGUUGCAUUUAAUUUGUUUUAUCGAUUUGUGUUAUAUUUUGAACCGACCCAACUUGAGAUCAUAACAAUUUAUUAAUUUGUAGUAUUUUUUAAUUUAUCGAGUAUUAAUUAUAGAGUUUUUACAGUAAUACCAAAAUAAUUUUAUGUGCUUGUUUUACUUUUAGAAGUGACAAGAUUUUUUCCAAUGAUUGUACAAUAGUCGGUUGUAUACUUUUAUCAAUCUUAGUGUCUAGUCAUCAUCACAAUAUCUCAUAACUCUGUGUUGAUAUUUCAACACUUCCAUAUAUAUUUCCCUGGUAUGUCUUUCAAGUACUUUAAAAUUCUUUCAACUAUGCUCCAAUGAUGUAUAGUAGGUAUGCUGACUUGAUUAAUCCCAAAGCAAAUGUAUGCUGUUUUUUGAUACUGUUACAAAUCCACUAGUGGUUAAAUCCCAUGCACAUCCUUAUAGAUAUUUUUAAAUUGUUGUUCAAAAAAGAUAUCUUUUUAAAUUAUGUAUAUUGAUUUUAUGUGUGUACAAAUAUAUAAAGGAAUCCACUUGGUAAUAGUUAUAAAAUAGUUAACAAAAUGGUUAAAAUGUGUUAAAUCAGAACGGAUGUAACUUGUUGCUUUUCUUUUUGCUACCUACAGCCUCGCAUCGACCACUUCACUUUCUUCACAUCGAUCAUUUUGAUUCCUUUGGUUAUCAUCUUUAACCAGAUCGACUGGUCUGCAUUCGUGGAUCGACCCCACGCUCUGCUCCUCUCGACCACUAAUGCUUGUUCAACAAUGACUACUUGCAGUGGCGGAUCCAUCUGAAAUUUUAAGUGAGUUCAAAAGUUAUUGAAAGGGUUGAUAUAAGUCUCCAACUCGGGUUUACUGGGUUCAAUACACCUAUUUACCAGAAAUGCUGGGAGAUUUCCUCAUUAUUUAGAUGCAAUAUAAAAUAUAUAUAUAUAUAUAGAUUUUUUUUGAUCAAAAUAUAAAGAUUUUUGUGGUGUCAAAUUAAUGACACCAAAUAUUGCUUAUUGUGUCCUCCCCUGACUACUUGGCCACUUUCUUCCAAUAGUUUCUGUGUGUGUGUGUACAUGUAUCCAAACAUAUGCAUAGAUACAAUAGAGUGCACCACAUUCACAUGCAAAGCACAUGCGAGAGUUCCUUUACAUAUUGAAUACUUAUCUAAUUAUGUAAUGACCAUGACCUAUAGCCGAAAGCGAAUUACUAAUGCCUGAUGUUCAUAUAACAACACUAUAGAACAAACCAAGUUGUAGGUCAUGGUCAUUACACAAUUAGAUAAGUAUUAAUUAAGAUCCUAUGUAUAGUUUUGAAUAAUAGCAGAUGCAGAUUUUUUUCACACAUAUGUUAUGCCGGUCAGACACUUUUAGAUGUCCUAAAUGUUAACAACUUACCUUCUAUAUUCUGUCCAAUAUCACAUAUAUAUGUAUAUAUAUAUAUAAUAUAAGAAAACAUAUCAAAAUUUCAUAAUAAUUCAAUUCUGUUAAUGAUUAGUAACAAUAAUAUUAUGAAGGUAAUUGUAUAGCACUGUUACUCAAAAUUAAAAUUUUUGACUCUAUUGUCAUAAUUUAUUAAAAUUAUUUUUAAUAUAAAAUUUGAUGUUAAAAAUAAAUGAUUAUUCAACAAUACAUUUAGCCAAUAUAUUUGUUAAUAAAUUUCCAAUACGUUGAAUAUACCCAAUUAAAAUCCAAAUUAGCUAAAUAUUCAUAAUUAUGGAUAAUUCAGAAAAAAGUAAUUUUUUGAUACUGUGCGGAUGAAAAUGUCCUUAUGCUUUAUCGAAAACAAAUAACUUUAGAUCUAUCAGCUAAAUAUUAACAUAGCAGGUAACAAUCUAUAUACCAACUAACAUAUCAGCUAAUAAUUUCAGUAUCAUCUAAUAAUCUAUGUAUCAAACAAAUGUAUCGACUAACAAAUCAUAUAUCAGUUAAUGAAACUAUUAACAAUUAAUUAGUUAUCUAUCAAAUAGUCUCAAAUCUAUUUGUAACAACUAACAUUUGAUUAAGAAUCCAUUAAAAUCUAAAUAAUAGCAAGUAAGUAAUAAAAUACCUACUAACAUAUAUAUAUUAUAUAAAAGUUGAUUGUGAGUCGAAAUUGAAAACAUUAGAAUUGGAGUGAGAUAAUAAGAUUAGCAUUAUGAGUGUCAAAAGAAUCAUAAUAAAAAAAUAAAGAUUUGUACGAUAAAUAGAUUAGAACAUAUAAAAAAAGAGAAGAGAGAGAUAGAUAUAAGAGUAUUAUAGUCAUAAAAAAUAUUAAAAAGAAACAAGGAUAUAUGGCAAAUUAUAUGGGCUUUUGGGUGUAUUCACACCAAUUUCUCAAAAAACUAACAAUCUGUAUAUUUUUCUUCAAGGUUUUUUGCAGAAAUAACCUAAAAUUUGAAAUCAAAUGCAAAUAUUACAUACUUUCUAAUUUGAAAUUUUCAUUUGUCAUAUCUACUCAAGAAAUUCAAAUUAUUCACGAAAAUAAAUUUAAUUUGUUUUUUCUGAAAAUUAUUGUUUUACUCAAUUAUUCUUUAUCAAGUAUUUAUAAUAUUGUCAUUGUCAUCAAUACACCUACUACUAUGAAUAACCAAUUUAAAGUUUCAAUAAUAAAUAAAAACCAUACGAGGUCAAAUUUAUAGCCUUUUAGAAUCGAACAUAUAUAAACACAAAGGAAGAUGACAACCAUGAAAUAAACACAUACAAAAACAAGAUAAAGCAGUGACAAAAACAUGAGACAAAAAUGAGAGGUUGAUAUAAGCUUGGUUUCUUCGAGUUCAAAGAGAUUGGAGAGUGGUUGAAGAAUUUUAGAGUAAAAAACAUUAAAUUUUUGUUACAGCCAUUUGAGAGGAAAAAAAAUAUAUGUAAAUUUUCUUUAUAUAAUGAGACAAAUAUUCCAAUUAGGUUAGCUAUUUUCGGUUCAGAAAUCUUCUAACAUAAAAUGUAAUAUAAUUCCUAAAUUUACUAGCCGUUCAAGUCCUCUAAUGCAUUAUAUGUUAGAAGACUUCUUAAGAAAUCUUAGAAACCCUAAAAUCAAAUAACUAAUUAAAUAGCAACAAACGAUUCAUUAUACAUAAAGUUAACUUAUAAAGUGUUUAAUAUAUACAACACUAAACAAAAAUUAUGUCAAAUAUAUUUCUUUAAUUUUUUUUUAAAGAUUCUAAAAUCUAACCUUGAAAAUACAAACAACUAGGCAUUUUCCUGCACCAUGUGCAGAAAUAAAGUUUUAAAAUUAUUUUAUAAAUAAAUAUAUGUUAAUUUUUUGGUUUUUCUAUUUGCGUAGAAUAUUUUAAUUCUAUGUAAAAAUUAAGAUAAAAUAAAUAUUUUUAUUUACAUUUAUAUUUAAUAAUAUAUAUAUAUAUAUAUAUCUUGGAAAUAUUUUUAUUUAUUUAUUUUGGUUAAUAUAUAUUAGAUAAAAUUCUAUAAAAUUAAGAAAAAGUUUUGUUAUGCAUAAAUAACAAAACAUAAAAUUAAAUAAUAUUUCUAAAAUUUGUAAAUAUUAAAAAGAAAUAAUCAUAAUAUGAUUAGAAAAAUAUUUUUUUUUGAAAAUGCAUAAAUGUUUAAGAUUUGUUUUAGUAAUGAAAAAUAUUAAAUCAUUUAAAUAAAAAUAAAUAAUAUUUUCGAAAAUUAUUAUAUAUUACUAUAUUUUUAACUUUAUUAGCCCUGUUCGGAAACAGAUCGCUGACACAGCGAUCAAGAGUACAAAAUAAGCUUUAAUUUUAAGUAAUUUGAGGCUUAAAUAGUUAAAUAUCUGGAGAGACGCAGGACACCCGCGUCUGAUUACGGAAGCUAUUCCGGUGAUCGCUGUAUUUUUCAGCGGUAGCAACAUCAUCGAAAAUACACGAGGAUUUAAUCGCAGCGUCAUCUUUUCAAAUUUCCGCUUUUUUAUUUGCCGUCCUGAGCGUUAAAUUUUUAGUAACUUAUCGCUGCGUCUGCAACACCUUCCCGAACAGGGCUAUUGUUUAUUGUUAUAAUAAUGAUGAUUUAUAAGUUAUUAUCUUAUUCUAAAAAUUUACCAAAAUUAUAAAACAACAUCAAAUAUAAAUGUCCAUGUCAUAAUUAGUCCAAGCCUAUCAUCUAUAUUAGUAUGUCAUGUCAUCAUUUUGCUUUCAAAAUUAAUGUGGUGAUGACAUUUGUCAAAAUCACUUGGCAAAUAAUAUAUAGGGGAUACUACAACAUAUGUUAUCAAACCUUAAACGAAAUACAUUCAUAACUUACAAUCUAUAUUCACUCAUCUAUGUUGAAAACAAUUGAAUAUUAAUAAAUCUAAAUUUACAUCAUUUAAAAUUGUUUAUAGUUACAAGAUUUAAAUUUAUUUUCCAUAAGAAUACUUUUAUAAAUUUUAGAAUUAUUUUUUAAAUUAAAUACAUAGAAGACUUCAAUAACCCAAGAAGACUUUACAAGGUAAUAAUCAUAAAAGUGAUUAAAGAUUUUUUGUUUGGUUAUAAAGAGAUAGUUCUAAUUUCAAUAAUCUUUUGGAUUACUUUUUCAUUUGGUUGAAUUUGUGGUAUAUUUUGCAUUUAGAAUCAAAUUUCUGAUCAUAUUUUUGUCAAAUCCUUUUCUUUUAAACAUAAAAAAAAAAGAAAGAAUAGAAGUAUACAAACUAACAAUCUGUAUACUUUUGAAGUAUACAAAUCCUUUUCUUUUUCGAGCAUUUCCAUCUUAAAGAGAUUUAUCUAGUCGUGUAACACAUUUUUCCAAAAACUAACAAUCUGUAUACGUUUGACUUUAUCCAAGUUCCAAAUUUCGGUUAGUUGAUAUUUACAAAAAAACUUUGGGAAAAUUGUUGCGCAUUUCCUCUUGAUAUGAAACUACAAAACAUAGUGGUCAUUUUCGUUCGGAUGGUAUAGGAGUUACACUUUCGAAAGGAUUAAAAUGCCGUAUCUUGAUAUUGAUUACGUAUUCCGAGUCAUCUUUACCGUUGAAAAUUUCACAACAUUGUCUACGUGGUGCCUGUAAACCACCAUCAAAUUAAAAAGAAUAGUAUUACUAGUGGGUGCAUAAUGGUCAGAGCUCGUAUGGGUUACUGCCAAGAUCUUGUUGAGGGAUCAGAGAGUUAGCAUCGGUUCUUGAGUUGUUGUCACGGGUAAUUCCGGUUUAGCUUGGUUAAAUUAAACACAAGUUAAUUGGGAGUCAAAUCUAAUUGCGUCUGUUUUCCCAAAGAUGAUCAUGAAAAACCGAUAUUGUUGUAAUCGAAAGACAGUUCAGUUCUAAAGCUUUUAUUUUAGUUUUUCAUUUUAAAUAAAAGAGGUCGAGUUCUAAAAGCUUGACGUAAUAGUCAAGUAAAAUGACAAAUGCAUUCGGUCGCCAAAGCCUACGGUUUACUUCUUACAAACUGUUGUUCGUCUCUAAAGAUGGCAAAACCAGAGGUUGGAAACCAUGUCGAAGAGCAGCUUCCCAAACUCCGUGAGGACUAACCAUUGGAACGUCAAGACCACACUCGUGUUCCUCCCAUCCUUCAAGGGCAUGCACUAUUCCACCAACUCUCCAAGCACUCAUCAUUCUCCUCCCCAGCCAAUUCUAUAUUUAUACAAAUAUGUGUUAUAUAUCAUAAUUAGUUAUAAUAUAGUUUUACUGAAGUUAAAAGAAUGUAUAUACCUCACAAGAAUCUAUGUUUUGGGCAGAGUCCGGGAUGAUCAUAGCCGGAGUGGUAUGGUAAAAGCAGUCUUUACGAAGUUGGGUAGGAGGAAACUGAGAGAAAGGAAGAAAGCGAGUUCCUUUUGCUGCCAUCUUCUGCUCUUCUUUGCUUAUCCCAUCUCCCACCAACCAUAUCUAUACAUCAUAUAUAUGUUACAUAGUUUUUUAAUGAAAUAUUACUUGUUAGAUUUAAAAAAAUAAAAUGGUUGUUAUUAUGUUUUAAUGCCAUUUGAAUUUUACAAAAACCAUUGGGGAGUAAUUGGUUGUUAGGACCAGAUUCUCUUUACAAUGCCCGCUAAGGAAUCUGGCUAGCAUGCAAUGCUCUUCCUCACGUAGCACCAUCACCUAUAUAUAGAAAUAAUAUUAAGGUGACAAAAAUCUAAAAUAUGAACUAACUAUUAUUGUCAAAAGGUAGAAUACAUUAUGAAUAUUUUUUUUUUGUAAUCCGAAAGCAAAAUGCUAAAUUAGUUUGACUUAAAGUAGGCCAUGUGACAUUGCAUACACGUAAAAAAAUAAGCUAUCGAGGGACUUGAUUAGAUAGAUAAUACCGUAAUGGCAUAACUUUUAUUAAAAUACUUAUUUUGACUAUAUAAAUACAUGUUUUGCAUGUUCAAGUUGCAAUAUUGUAAUACGUUCGAUCAUAUUCUUACACGCAAAGUAACAUUUACAUGAAUAUUUAUAACUAUUGAAAGCUAGUGAAAAACAUAUACACAAAAAACUCUACAAACUAAUAAUGUUGGGACUAUGAUAAUUUAUUAAUUUAUAGAAUUAUUAAUUUAAAGAAAAUUUCCAUUUUAAGAUUUAUAUUUUUUGAAAUAUUUUUUAUUAAAAAGAAGGAUAGAAUAUUUUAUUUCAUAAUAGUAUAUAUUAGUUAAAACUUUAUAGAUUUAAAUUUCAUCUUUUUAUGAGAUUAUUUGAUACAUUUUCCGUAUGUUAAAUACAUAUGGAAGUAUACAAAUGAGUUUUAUAAGUAACACCAAAAUAUUAAAAUGAAAAAUAGAAAUUAGAGAUAUAAUUCAUUUUGAAGAUUAAAAAACAAUAGAUAUUUUUUAUUUAUGUAUAUAUGAAAUUAAUAUAUAUCAUAAUUAUUAAUUUAUGAUUUUAACGGGACCAUAUAUUUAGUUAAGAAUUUUCUAAAUAUUAUUAUCUUAUUAUUUUAUCGAAUUAUGUCAUAUUUUACAUCGGCCUAAUUUGGAACUGGAAAAAUUUAUUAGUUUACCGUAAUUAUUAAUUUAUCGACCAUUAGUUUAUAGAGUUUGUAGUGUAAUUUAAAUGUGUAAAUAGGUACCUUGAUGCCAUUUAGGCAAAGAGAAGUGACAAUAGCACGAGCAACUUUUGUGAUUUGGCCUCGAAAUAGAACUUCUCUUGUGCCAACAGGAAUACUAUGAACCACCACCUGAGCUGCAAGGCUGCUUCCGUCUACUAUCCUUAUCUUUAGCUUUGGAUGCUUCCUUGCGUACAUUUCUCCGUACCCAUUUAACUCUUCUUCCUAACCAUAUUAUAGUAUUAUUUACGGUUUAUGUAUAGAGAGUUAGAGACUAUCCAUCGUUAUAAAUGCUAAAGCUAAAAAUAACCAAUUAAUGUAUUAAUUACAUGCCUGGUUCAAUAGCCCCAAACUCAUUACUCUCACACCCUUCUUCUCCGCUUCAAGGAUAGCCGUCUCUAUCGUUUUAUUGAUAGAUUUUUUCUGCUUCAGCGACUUGUACUGUUGAUUAACAAACAAAAUUAAUUACAAAACGUAAAUGAUUUAAUAUAAUGUAGAGACUAGCUAGAGAAGGGAGCGUAGAUUCAAACAUGAGAAGAGAACUUGGGAACGAGAUGGGAGUGAAGAGUGAGAUCACGGAAGCGAUUUCUCUCGAAGGCAAAGCUUCUAAAUGAGAGGAAAGUUAGUAUGAAUGAGAGCAUCAGAGUGCACGGUCUCAUGAGUAAUAGGUAACACCGAGAAGAUAAGGGGUGCGAGGAGAGGGAAGCAGAGCCAAGUCGGAGAUGGUAAAUAGAGUCGAGUGAUGUUAGAUGUGUGAGAUAAAUUGCGUCCGGCUUCUCUUCUUCUUGCUCCAACGAUGUUUCAUACAAUGAGUCAC